ensembl:lncRNA
AGAUAAUCCAAUAGCUGACGUUAGAAGCAUGAACAAGGUAGGCUCCAUGCAAUUCGUACUGCAGAGGACAGAAGGGCAGGGGCGGGUGAGUCCUUCUCAGUCCUAUUCAUUUCUCUUCACAUUUUCUCCUGCAGUUAAGAAAAACACGCAAGUUAAGACCUCAUUAGUCCUGUUAAUCUCCAUUUCUCUUCCUGCAUGUGUUUUCUCCAGAAAUUUCAAUGAUCAAUCAAGUUUCUGUACUCAAGGACCAUCCCAUACACCACCACAUCUAAUCUUCACACUGUCUUAUCUGCCAUGCAAAGAUGAACCACUAAGGUUUGCCAUGACAUCAUAGAAUCACAGAAUGGCUGGGGUUGAAAAGGACCACCAUGAACAUUGAGUUUCAACCCUGCUAUGUGCAGGGUCACCAACCACCAGACCAGGCUGCCCAGAGCCACAUCCAGCCUGGCCUUGAAUGCCUACAGGGAUGGGGCAUCCACAGCCUCCUUGGGCAACCUGUUACAGUGUGUCACCUCCCUCUGUGUGAAAAACUUCUCCUAAUAUCUAACCUAAACCUCCACUGUCUCAGUUUAAAACGAUUCUCCCUUGUCCUAUCACUAUCCACCCUUGUAAAAAGUCGUACCCCCUCCUAUUUAUAUGACCCCUUGUGAUGACACAACUGUGACCAAAGAGUAUUGGUAUUUCAAUUUGCUUUCAAUCCAAUUAAUUUAAACUUCUUAUUGCAUACUGUUGAAAUGCCCCAAAUCACUGUGAUGUCAAAGUUUGCAUACAAGCCAGAGCCCUGGCCUUUAUCAGGAGAGCAUGCAUUUCAACUUAAACGGUGGAGAGCCAUGAGGAAGGAAUACACUCAAUUGCUAACAAGCUCAGAACAAACAAAGUGUUGGAAUUAUUGCAGAGCCAUGUGCAACUGUAAUGGCUUGUCUGGGGAGUGACAGCCCAACUAUACAGUACACUGAUUACCAAAGCAGCUGCCAAAAAGAACCAAACAAACCUACAAUGAGAUAAUAAAUACAUAUUGCAAUUGGUCCUUUUUCAUAGUUUCUGGAAUUUAUAGGUGAACAAUCUGAGGCAUAUGAAAUGAUCCUGUUUGUGUUAUCGGUGUGUUCCUCCCAGGGAGCUGUCUGUAAGCCAGUCUUUAACUUGAAUUCAGGUUGGAUAUUAGGAAACAUUUCUUCUCAGAAAGAACUGCACUGGCACAGGCUGCCCAGGGAGGUGGUGGAGUCACCGUCCCUAGAGGUGUUCAGGAGCUGUGGAGAAGUGGCACUGAGGCUGUUAGCCCAGAAUAAUGGAACAUGGGUACACUGAUGGAUGACAGGAAGCAUCUCCAAUUUGCUGAAGUACAACGAAUAGCUGGCAAGCUGAAGAUCAACUCUGUAAAUACAGUUUGGGCCAAAAAGAGUCACUUGAAGGUUUCUGUCCUUGUGUCAGCUGCACCUCAGGCUGGAGGCUGAAUCCAUUAGUGCAGAAGCAAUCAUUGACCCUGCAGCCUGCUUAUAUCCCAGGCCUCCAAGACCAUGAGUCUUUCACAUCUGGUCAGAAUAAAGGCAGAGACAGGCAGCAAGGGGCGAGGUCUGAUUUCUGUCUCGUACUGAGUUUUGCUGUCCUCAAGCUCUUCUCCGAGGUGAAUGUUCUUGCCAGACAUUAUCAGCUUCAGUGGUUUGGCUCAGAGUUUUCUCCAGACUCUUUUGUUCUGUUGACUUUUGGAUCAACUCUGCCCUGGCUCUGUUUUGAAAGUUACUUUACCCAUAUUAAUGUUUAACUUAAACAAGUAUUAAAUCAUAAGUCUUAACAUGAAAAUGCUUUAGUCUCUGGACAGUUCCUUUCCUUGUUGCUUUUGAGCCGUACAUGAGCACAGCUUCACUUGCCAGGAUUUCUUCUGUUUGGUGCUGGUCCCAUGACACUGUUAUUACUGCUGUUUUAAUGCAGUGGAAAACAAAACCAAGCCAAAUCAAAACCCAAACCCCCUAUCAUAUUGUAGGCAACACUGUGGGCUCUUGUGAAUCACAGCAGCCCGAUGGUGAGGGAUGGAAGCCUGAAACUCAUUCUUUUUCUUCACAUUAUAGCUGUUUUGUUU